CUCUUUGCCUUUAGCCAAAAUUGUGCCUCUGCUUCUAAAUGCAACAGCAACAAAUUUCAAAAAAUAAAUGUGGAAGUAUUACUUUCCAUACAAAGAAAUUAAACGCAAAUGAAAACUCGUCUAUAAACCUCUAAAGAUGCGUAGUCCAUUUCUGUCAAUAUGUUGAAAUUUUUGUACCUAUGGCUAUAAAUAAACUUUUCGACAAAGCAGACUCUGCAGAGCAAACAAAGAUCAUUUUCCAACUUUGGACAACGAGGUUGAGCUCCUCUGGUAGCAUAUGAGCACUAGACAUGACAGUAUGUGAAGCCCAUGUAUAGCCACGAAAAGAAUGCGUACGAGCAUGUGCGAGACAUUUUGGCAAUGAUGUCUUCAAGAGGAUUGUUUUAGGUACCUGUGCAGACCAUGUGGUGGUGUUUGUUUCCAGAUUUGGUUGCUGUAAGCUUUAGGUUCAAAAGUGGUAUCCCUAAAGUUAUAAAAUUCAUGUCUCUACUUUUUAUGGACCCAUAGAUUAGUCCGUUUGGUAAAUUGGCUUAUCCUUUUUACAUUCCUUCAUUAGAAGCCAUUGUAUGGGGAUGGCUAUUCGACUUUGGAGAUAACCGUGUGAGGUAACCAUUGCUUCUUGUUAAAAUAUAGGAAUUGUUUGCCUAUUAAUGGUGAUAUCAUCAUUGUUUGGUUACUCAACUGUUUUGUAAUUUAUAUUUUUG
rnacentral:lncRNA from 1 species